AUGAGGCGAGCGAGCACCAGUGUGAAGCAGCUGUGUGGUGUGAUCACAAGACGAGGCUCACAGGAAGAGGCUGUUUGCGAUAUUUCAUCUGUUUUUCCAUAUUUUAAACAAGGAUUCCCUCAGUUCCAGAUCUAUGUAUAUACAUUUUUCUGAAGCAUAUUAUUCACAACUUUCUAAUCAGGUGUGGAAACCAUUCCAGAAAGAUAGAGAGGGUCCCAGACGGAUCCAGAGAUCUGCUAACCUGUCUUGCUGUUUGCUUGUGAAAGCCUGGCUGAUUCUUGGAGCAAACAGGAAUCCUUCUGGUAGAGGGACGAGUUACUGCCCCGGUUGCUGAGUCUGUACUGCAAACAGUGGUGGAGCACCUGUUGUGGGUUCGGCACUGAGCUACAGGUAAGAGUUGGUUAAAGGAUAAACAAGACACAUUCCUUGCCUUUGGCGGCUCACAGUCCAGUGGAAGAGACAGUCACGUAACCAGGCAACCACGAUAUACGAAGUGAUGGUUCUAAGACAGGUGCUGCUGAUGAAAGUGCUACAGGAGUUGGUCUGACGUCUUUGGGAAGGACAAGACAGCAUGCCCACGGAGUUACCAUGUCCCAGUGCUGUUCUUUCCUCCUGAUGGAAAGGGUAUGUAUUCCGGAUGACCACUCUCAAGAUCUGAAUGUACACUGGUUCUGUUUUUCCUGAGGGCAACGUGGGCAGUCUGUAGGGUGGCAUUAACCAGAUGAGGCUUCAAGAGCACCCUUUCAUCAGGGACGCAACAGUAGAGUUGUAUUCAUUCAUUCGACAUAUUUUUGGAGCAUGUGCUUAUUGCCAUGUACUGUGCUGGGUAGGUGCGGAGCAUCCAGUGACAAGACUAUACGGCUCCUUACUCCACGGGGCUGCUGUUCUCCACUGUACGGAAAUUCCGCUCUCCCCUCUCAAGGCACAGGUUGUGCUUUGUACACCAUUAAAAGGAACAUCAACUAAAGGAAAACUGUUGUUUCCUCUCUACCCACAGAACACUUCUGACACCAGAUGUGUGGGGGUUUCUACACCAAGCAAUUCUCCAGUUCUCAGUGAACACUGACUGCGUAUUCUACAGUUUCACUCCAUUCCAAACCCAACUGCCCAGGGUUAGCACAGACCCCUCAGGUUAAGGGCUCAGUCUCACAGGAUUUCCCCAGACUUCAGAUGCUAAUUAUAAGACCCCAAUUGUCACCUAUAAUUCUGACCAACUGGCUAUAAAUUGAGCUUUCCCAUGACCCCCUCCUCAGGUUUGAUAAUUUGCUAGAAAGGCACACAGCACUCAGAAAAACACUUUACUUACAUUUACUGGUUUAUUGUAAAGGAUACAACUCAAGAACAGCCAGAUGGAAGUGACACAUAGGGCAAGGUUUGGGGGUGGGGGCAGGGAUUGGAGCCUCCCUCCCAGCACCUCAGUACGUUCGCUGCUCUGGAAGCUCUCCAGGCUCCAUAGUUCAGGGGUUUUAUGGAGACUCCGCUAUGCAGGCAUGAUUGACUAAACCACUGACCUAUAGUGAUUAAGCCCAUCUCCUGCCCCUCUCCCCUCCCUGGAGGUCAGGGGUGAGUCUGGAAGCUCCAACACUCUAAUUACAUGCUUGGAUCCUCUGGCAACCAGCGUCCGUCCUCCAAGAGUUGCCUCAUUAGCAUAAACUCUAGUAUGGUUAAAAGGGGCUUAUUAUGAAUAACAAGAGAUGCUCCUGUCACCCCUUUGUUCAAGAAAUUCCAAGGGUUUUAGGAGCUCUGUGCCAAGAACCAAGGAGGAAGACCAAAAUAUAUAUUUCUUAUUAUAUCACAACCAUGCAGUCUCAGCAUUCAGCGCUGGGCCUUGCAAAAAGCAGCCCCUCCAUACCUUUGUGAGUAGACACAGGAAAGCAGAAUGAAGGAAAGAGGGGUCAGCAACAAAAAAACAAACAACCCGGUUCAACAGUGGGCAGAGCAUCUGAACAGACAUCUUCCCAAAGAAGACAUACAGAUGGCCAACAGGCACCUGAAAAGAUGUUCAGCAUCACUAAUUAUUAGGGAAAUGUAAAUUAAAUAAAAAAUGAGAUCUCA
ensembl:lncRNA